rnacentral:rRNA from 1 species
UUCCCGGGCCUUGUACACACCGCCCGUCACACCAUGGGAGUGGGUUGCAAAAGAAGUAGGUAGCUUAACCUUCGGGAGGGCGCUUACCACUUUGUGAUUCAUGACUGGGGUGAAGUCGUAACAAGGUAACCGUAGGGGAACCUGCGGUUGGAUCACCUCCUUACCGAAAGAUAUUGAUUUGUGUGGCGUGCUCACACAGAUUGUCUGAUGAAUGU